rnacentral:rRNA from 1 species
AACGGGUGAGUAACACGUGGGCAACCUGCCCCUGGCUCUGGGAUAACUCCAAGAAAUUGGGGCUAAUACCGGAUAUGACCGCUGACCGCAUGGUCUGGUGGUGGAAAGAUUUAUCGGCUGGGGAUGGGCCCGCGGCCUAUCAGCUUGUUGGUGGGGUAGUGGCCUACCAAGGCGACGACGGGUAGCCGGCCUGAGAGGGUGACCGGCCACACUGGGACUGAGACACGGCCCAGACUCCUACGGGAGGCAGCAGUGGGGAAUAUUGCGCAAUGGGCGAAAGCCUGACGCAGCGACGCCGCGUGGGGGAUGACGGCCUUCGGGUUGUAAACCUCUUUCAGCAGGGACGAAGCGGAAGUGACGGUACCUGCAGAAGAAGCACCGGCCAACUACGUGCCAGCAGCCGCGGUAAUACGUAGGGUGCAAGCGUUGUCCGGAAUUAUUGGGCGUAAAGAGCUCGUAGGCGGUUCGUCACGUCGGCUGUGAAAACCUGAGGCUCAACCUCAGGCCUGCAGUCGAUACGGGCGGACUUGAGUACUGCAGGGGAGACUGGAAUUCCUGGUGUAGCGGUGAAAUGCGCAGAUAUCAGGAGGAACACCGGUGGCGAAGGCGGGUCUCUGGGCAGUAACUGACGCUGAGGAGCG